GUUCUAAUCAAAAUAAAGUGUUACUUAAUUUUUUUUUAAUUAAUUGCGCGUAAAUCAAAGUGUUAGUGUUAUCAUUUUUAUCAAGAAUUGAUUCUGGCUGUUAUUUCUAAGAACGAUGACGAUUGUCACUUUUGGAUCUGACGAUUAAACCACAAAUUUUAAGAUGUCGCUAUCCUUGCUACUUCGUACGUAUUGGAGUAAAUAAGAUGCGGAAGUUAGCUGCAUGACACGUUCAAAAAUAUGGUACUUCGUUUUUCGCAUUUAGAAUUCAAAUGCAUUUUCAGCGAAUGAAGCGCCCGCCGAAGGAGAGCGAGAGCGACAUUGCCGACAAACUAACCAGCCGAAUGAUGACAAAUAGAUGUGCACGAUCAACCCAUUAGAUCAACCCACACGUAGAGUCUGCAAAACCGCGGAUUGAAUCGCGGCCAAACUGACGACCGGCGGUAAACCUCGGCUUUAGAAUCAGUGCGAUACGGGAUACAAUCGCUAAUACCAGUCUCUAAGUUUGCAGUUUCACUAAUGAAAUU